rfam:Gasterosteus aculeatus cont1.000894, whole genome shotgun sequence.
CAAUUUCAGCCAUUCAUACUUCAGUUGUUGAAAUGGAAAAAGUGUUUUGAGUCUAAUUAUUA